UACGAAGGGGGGCUAGCGUUGCUCGGAAUCACUGGGCGUAAAGCGCACGUAGGCGGCUUUUUAAGUCAGGGGUGAAAUCCUGGAGCUCAACUCCAGAACUGCCUUUGAUACUGAGAGCUUGAGUCCGGGAGAGGUGAGUGGAACUGCGAGUGUAGAGGUGAAAUUCGUAGAUAUUCGCAAGAACACCAGUGGCGAAGGCGGCUCACUGGCCCGGUACUGACGCUGAGGUGCGAAAGCGUGGGGAGCAAAGCAGGG
rnacentral:rRNA from 1 species